UGUGGGAGCUGGCUUGCCUGCGAUGCAGGCAACUCGGUCUUUCAGUGAUACCGAGGUGAUGCUAUCGCAGGCAAGCCAGCUCCCACC
rnacentral:antisense_RNA from 1 species